GGCGGGGGAGCUGAAAGGCGAAGAGAGAGAUGCCCCAAGAUCCCAGGCAAUCACACUGCUCCCUCUGCCCCCACCUGCAGCAACAUCUGCAAGAGAAACCAGCGCUAGAGGAGGAAAAAAAAACGAGCUACUAAGGCUUGGCACCCGUCUCUAAAGGAGCGUGACAACGUGGACGAAGAAGUAAGAGUCUCGCCGACAGCUCGUGAUUAACGACCUGCCGCCUCCCUCUUUGUUUUUCUGAGGCAGCAGAAGAAACCGAAAUCAGUCUUUGUCAUUUCAUAAAGAGCAUUUAACGGAACGUUAUAAUUUUAAGCAUUUUAAUUAAGCCUCCUAGCACAUAAUGGCACGCUUCUCGAAUCCCUCAGCCAAACGCGGUCUACUUAAAUAGUGUAUUUCCUCUUUUCAAGCUCUUAAAGCUAUUUUUCUGGGGGGUGCUAAAAUAAUAGACAAAUAAUAGACAAAUUUAAUGUCUAUACACAGUGAUAGGUGAAGAAGAAUUACAAUUGCUGACUCAAAGCAUGGGCCCUAAAUAUUUGCAUUUAAGAAAAUAAGGAGACAACAAACAGGCUAAUUAGUAUUACCUAAUGCAUAAUCUCAGACCUGUCCCACAUAUUUGCCACAUUACUUGAAAAUCCCGGUGGUUACUCCAUGAAAUAUCCCACUACAAGUAGGUAGCGCUGUCAUUGUAGCAAUGACUUCCGCAAAUACUUUCUGCUAACUUGUUUGCAAUGCAAGCAAAGAACCAUGUUAGCUUCUUGUGACACUAGCUGUGAUACUUCUGUGUCAACACAAAACUGAUGCACAGUGACUAAUUAGGAAAAACGCUUGUUUACUUUGUUCAAACUGGUAAAUCUUGCUCUCAAUAUCAGAUGUUACCAUUAAAUACAAUGAAAUUCUGUAAAUACUUUCAUGAAGAAAGAACAUGGGCAUUGCCUGUAGCUCCUAAUACUAUUUAUAUGUAAAACGAAUUGAGACUUCUUUACAUUAUGGUAUGAGAAGCUUUGUAGAGAAGCUUGGAAUGGAGUUCUUGGAUGUUGUUCAGAACUGAAGGUAUUGAGAUGUAAGUGAGGGUAUCAAGAUGUAAGCAUCUGUGACAAAGUCAGCCUAGUAAGAAAUAACUUUCGUUCACAUAUCUUAAAAAAGGAAAAAAAAUGUCAAAAGCAAGCCCUACUGUAUAGUGACAACUAAAAAAGCUUCAUCUCUAGGGCUUAAUCUUUUUCAUAUUAGUGUAAUUAGUCAGUCAUGCAGUCCUGUAUGCAGCCAGAGAGUUGGGAAGUGCCUCUUCUGCAUUAUACUAGGACUGUGUCCAUCCUUGGAAAUUGUAUUACAUUUUCUGCCAUACUGUACUCCUAUGCUCAGUGACUGUUUAAUAAGCAAUAAAGUAUUUUAUCUCAAUCUGCUGCUGAAUAAAAAAAAAUCCUGAGCUUAAGUUGAGCUUGAUAAAUAAGAGUAUUGAAUGGCGAAGUCAUUAUUUAGCAAACCAAAGCAUUAUUAUUAUAAUAUAAUCACAGAUAUGAAA